rnacentral:rRNA from 1 species
UGUCAAGCAGCCGCGGUAAUACAGAGGGUGCAAGCGUUAAUCGGAUUUACUGGGCGUAAAGCGCGCGUAGGCGGCUAAUUAAGUCAAAUGUGAAAUCCCCGAGCUUAACUUGGGAAUUGCAUUCGAUACUGGUUAGCUAGAGUGUGGGAGAGGAUGGUAGAAUUCCAGGUGUAGCGGUGAAAUGCGUAGAGAUCUGGAGGAAUACCGAUGGCGAAGGCAGCCAUCUGGCCUAACACUGACGCUGAGGUGCGAAAGCAUGGGGAGCAAACAGGAUUAGAUACCCUGGUAGUCCAUGCCGUAAACGAUGUCUACUAGCCGUUGGGGCCUUUGAGGCUUUAGUGGCGCAGCUAACGCGAUAAGUAGACCGCCUGGGGAGUACGGUCGCAAGACUAAAACUCAAAUGAAUUGACGGGGGCCCGCACAAGCGGUGGAGCAUGUGGUUUAAUUCGAUGCAACGCGAAGAACCUUACCUGGCCUUGACAUAGUAAGAACUUUCCAGAGAUGGAUUGGUGCCUUCGGGAACUUACAUACAGGUGCUGCAUGGCGGUCGUCAGCUCGUGUCGUGAGAUGUUGGGUUAAGUCCCGCAACGAGCGCAACCCUUUUCCUUAUUUGCCAGCGAGUAAUGUCGGGAACUUCAAGGAUACUACCAGUGACAAACUGGAGGAAGGCGGGGACGACGUCAAGUCAUCAUGGCCCUUACGGCCAGGGCUACACACGUGCUACAAUGGUCGGUACAAAGGGUUGCUACCUAGCGAUAGGAUGCUAAUCUCAAAAAGCCGAUCGUAGUCCGGAUUGGAGUCUGCAACUCGACUCCAUGAAGUCGGAAUCGCUAGUAAUCGCGGAUCAGAAUGCCGCGGUGAAUACGUUCCCGGGCCUUGUACACACCGCCCGUCACACCAUGGGAGUUUGUUGCACCAGAAGUAGCUAGCCUAACUGCAAAGAG